UACGGGGGGGGCAAGCGUUGUUCGGAAUUACUGGGCGUAAAGGGUUCGUAGGUGGCCCGCUAAGUCACACGUGAAAUCCCCGAGCUCAACUCGGGAACUGCGUCCGAUACUGACAGGCUUGAAUCCGGGAGAGGGAUGCGGAAUUCCAGGUGUAGCGGUGAAAUGCGUAGAUAUCUGGAGGAACACCGGUGGCGAAGGCGGCAUCCUGGACCGGCAUUGACGCUGAGGCGCGAAAGCUAGGGGAGCAAACGGG
rnacentral:rRNA from 1 species